rnacentral:lncRNA from 1 species
AAAACCAUUAUUUUCAUACUUAAAUUUGAUAUUAAAACACACCCUUUAUGGCUUAGAAUGAGCUUUAAAUCAAGUAAAACACUUAGUUGUGUCUUAUGAGAGUCAAAAGUUGGUUUUAGGGAUAUUAUGCUUGUUUUACAUUGUUUUGCAGGGUUUUAAGGUGAAUUGAAGAUGGAGAUGAAGUAAGGUGGACUUAGACC